UAUCUUGUGGUCGUCGAUGGUGCCGACCCCGCCAGGGGAAGGCUUAAAGGGAAUCCGGUGAGGCGCGCUCGCACAUGAGCAAGCCGAUUCCGGAGCUGCCCCGCAGCGGUAACUGGUAACGACCCGCGUCAAUGGCACUGGCCCGAUCCCCAAGGGGAUGCAGCUGGGAAGCGACGCGCAGUAGGAAGACGGCUCGCAUCGCGAACCGCACGACCGGAAGCCCGAAAACCUGCCACGACCGGAAGUCUCCG
rnacentral:ncRNA from 2 species